CGGGGCACAUCCUUCGUAGGUGCCACCUGGGGGACACAGCCUCACAGCACAGCUGUGGACACAGCUGCCCCCAACCCGUGAGCACACACCUCACCAGGCUCCCAGCAGCCAAGGACCCACGUGGAGGCCCGGCCUCUCCCGGCCCUGAAAGCAGACGGAAAGAGACCAGGGUCUUUCGGGAGAACCCCCGGGGGCCCGGCAGAGUCCAGGAGGGGCUUCCAGAACCAGGGGCCGCUGGCUGAGCGCCUGGCCCAGCACCUCUAGCGGCCCCGCCCGAGAGCCCCGAGUCCUGGGCCGUGUUGCACAAGUGUGGCCCGAGCCUGGGAACCCAAGGGGGCCUCGCGGCCGGGCCGGCGGGCGGAGGAUGUUUGCACAGUGAGUCAGCGCAGAUGUGGGGCUCUCAUUACACACUCGUCCACGAAGGCAGGAGACCAGGCCUCGCGACGGCCAACGCCUCUGCUCCCUCCCGCCAGAGGGAGGCCCCGGGAGGGGGCAGGGAGGGCCCGCUGCAGACAAAGGCCGAACUGCACCGCCCGUGGCCGUGGCCCAGGGCCAGUCUGAAUUAGUGAGCAUCUGAAAUGAAGAAAGUUGUGUUCUGUUCUAAGAACCCAAGUCUGUUUGAACAGUCGGCCGCAGAUUAGGGCCCGAGGAUUACCGCCAGCCUGGCGUCUUGCGCGCCUGCCUUGAGGAGCAGAUAUAAAUAACUCGCUUUCAGAACGGGGACGGUGCGGCAGGCGAAGGUCACAAUUAAAGGGACCCGAAAGUCAGCCUCCUGGUGCCGGGCACCCUGUGAUCUCGGGGUCAUCGGGCGGCUUUGUGGUCAAGACAAGCGCAGGGCGUGAGCGGAGGCCGGGGCUCGAGCGGCUCGAGCCCGGUCGAUCGGGCACAUCACUCGGGAGCUUCAGAAACGCGUCGCCAACAGCCCUCCCGCUCCGGCUGCACCGUUUUACGAACAGGAAAAAAAAAAAAAAAAAAACACUCAAAUUCUCCUGUGGCUAAUUCAUUCCAGAAGGCACCAGACUGAAUAUCGCUACUGUAAAUAGAUUUCUUCAUUAUCCUGGGGCAUUUUUUGGCCAAAAGACCAAGGAAAAAACCAGGCAAGAGUCAGUAAGUGUCUGGGCUCCCGGCAGGCCCAGCAGGGGUGUGGGAGGGAGGCCCAGGGAGGCCGGGGCCGCGGCGUUCCCACCGUGGACGUGCACCUGGUCCAGUCAGGUGCGCCUGCUCGCCGGGCUCGGCCGGGGAGCACAAGGAGGGGUGCGUUCCAACGCCCCGGAGGGCCACCCUGGGUGGCGGUUCACGAUCCACGCAGGAUUUAUUUUAUGGAGGUGACCAACGAUGACACGGAGAAAUCCAUGACACCGAAAAAGAGUGCGUUACUUAGAGUUUUCGAGAGGAGAGGCCACACCGCCCAGGACACGUGGCAAAGCACCAGACUCUGUCUCAGGCCGGAAGGACCGGGACAGCGCGGCCCAGAGCCUGCGCCGUGGUUUCUCCGGGAAGGAACGGGCAAGGCCCAGGGUACAAGUCACAGCGAAUGCUCAGCACUGGCGUGUCAGAGUGAUUCCAGCGGGCUCUGGGCCACAGCGGUGUCCCUAGCCAUCUGGUCCCUGGCCCGGGCGACUUCGGGCAGGGGGAGCGCUGGCCUGUGUGUGAGAGCUGGCGAGGGAGGUGGACGCGGCUGUGGGCUCUAGACUGACUGCUUCGUAAAUGAAAGGCGUGUUUGCAAGGGAGACGUCUGCUGCCUCCGGGAAUUAGCUGCCCCCCCCCCCCCCACCCAGGGAGGGACAGUCUCUCCCCAGCCGGCAAGGCCCCCAGAGAUGUGGAGGUGUCGUAAGAUAGGGAAAAUAAAACACGUAACGAACGCAGGCAGGUGGACGCUUCUCGGGUCAGAGCGCUCUGCACGGCGAGUCCUGCCCUGCCUCGAGCCCUGGGGCCCCGGGGAGCCUCCCCCAACCCCGACAUUCCCCGGGGCCUGGUCUUGGGUGCUCAUCUGCCUUCACUGCCGGGCCUCGGGUGAUCUUGGGGGGCACGCACGGGCUGGGGUCCCCAUCCCCACCCGCCCCCCGAGUCCGCACCUGCCUGACCUCUCUCUGACCCCGUCCGUGCCCCGGACCUCUUCAUCCGUGUCAUUUCUCCUGCCGCGUCUGUCUCUGGCAACGGGCGCCCUGUCCUAUCCAGGGCCCAGGCCAGAGCCGGGGCCCCACCCCGUCUCUGCCGCCCUCCUGCCCAUUCGGGGCCCCCGUCGGCCCUCUUAGGUCGACCGAUCGCUUGUUGGUGAGGGUGGCGGCAGAGGGCAGCGAGGGGAGCAGCCUGCUGCUCCUCGACACAACCGACCCUGAACCCCGACUCGCCCGGAGGUUGACCGCAGUCGGGAGCAGACCCCGAGCGAGGCUCCUUGCGGACCCGGGCAGCCAGCGGUAAUCCAUGUCGAACCCAGUGCCGGGCAGCACCCGUCCUGGCCGUCUGGCUCUCCUCGUGCAGGGCCGGGGCUUUGCCCCCCACACCCCACGCUUUACGAACAUUCUCGAACGUGAUUUCCAAUGGCGGGGGGAGUCCACAGAAUAAGACGCUACCACUGGC